rnacentral:rRNA from 1 species
GACGAACGCUGGCGGCGUGCUUAACACAUGCAAGUCGAACGGAAAGGCCCUGCUUUCGUCGGGUGCUCGAGUGGCGAACGGGUGAGUAACACGUGAGUAACCUGCCCUUGACUUUGGGAUAACUUCAGGAAACCGGGGCUAAUACCGGAUAGGAGCUCCUGCUGCAUGGUGGGGGUUGGAAAGCAUCGGCGGAUGGGGAUGGACUCGCGGGUUAUUAGCUUGUUGGUGGGGUAGUGGCUUACCAAGGGUUUGACGGGUAGCCGGCCUGAGAGGGUGGACGGGGACAUUGGGACUAAGAGACGGCGCAGUCUCGAAUGGGAGGCAGCAGUCGGGAGUAUUGCACAGUGAGCGGGAGCCUGAGGCGGCGACGCCGCGUGCGGGAAGACGGCCUUCGGGUUAUGAACCGCUGUCACCUGUGACGAAGCGUGAGUGACGGUAAUGGGUAAAGAAGCACCGGCUAACUACGUG